rnacentral:rRNA from 1 species
GACGAACGCUGGCGGCGUGCUUAACACAUGCAAGUCGAACGGAAAGGCCCUGCUUUUGUGGGGUGCUCGAGUGGCGAACGGGUGAGUAACACGUGAGUAACCUGCCCUUGACUUUGGGAUAACUUCAGGGAACUGGGGCUAAUACCGGAUAGGAGCUCCUGCUGCAUGGUGGGGGUUGGAAAGUUUCGGCGGUUGGGGAUGGACUCGCGGCUUAUCAGCUUGUUGGUGGGGUAGUGGCUUACCCAGGCUUUGACGGGUAGCCGGCCUGAGAGGGUGACCGGCCACAUUGGGACUGAGGUACGGCCCAGAGUCCUACGGGAGGCAGCAGUGGGGAAUAUUGCACAAUGGGCGGAAGCCUGAUGCAGCAACGCCGCGUGCGGGAUGACGGCCUUCGGGUUGUAAACCGCUUUCGCCUGUGACGAAGCGUGAGUGACGGUAAUGGGUAAAGAAGCACCGGCUAACUACGUG